rnacentral:rRNA from 1 species
AUGCUGCGGCGCCGGCCUCCGGCCCCCCUGGUGCUCCCGUUCAGGUCCCCUACGGCGGGCCGUAUCCAGCGCCGUACGUCGCGCCGUCGCCGUACGUCGCGCCGGUGCCGUAUGCUUCAUCCUCCGCGGUGCCCUACGAGGCGCCGUACGGCGCGCCCUACGCGGCCUCUGUGCCGUAUGUCGCGUCACUGCAGCCCUACGGCGUCCUACGGUCAUCACCAACACUACCAUGCGCCUCCGUCGGCCGAUGCGCUGAUUCCGUACAGUGCUUCUCCGACGCUUGACUCGCAGCUCUCCGCACCGGUGGAUGAACCAGGACCGUUCCACUUCGCUCAUCUAGUGACGGUGAAACUCUCUGCUGAUAACUACCUCUUGUGGCGCGCUCAGGUGUUGCCACUGAUGCGUAGUCACUACCUUGAGGGGUAUGUCGACGGUACGCUGCCGUGUCCCCCGGCCAUGAUUCCGGUGCCCUCGGCCGCUGGUGGCUCCGUCAUGGUGACCAACCCUGCUCAUCGUCGGUGGAUCGCUCAGGAUCAGGCUAUUCUGGGUGCCAUUCAGUCCUCGCCCACUCCUUCCGUGGCUGGCACGGUGGUCUUUGCCGCGACGUCGAGGGAUGCAUGGGCCACUCUCGAUUCCAGCUUCUCCUCGUAG